UGAGGAAUUUUCCACAAUGGGGGCAACCCUGAUGGAGCAACGCCGCGUGCAGGAUGAAGGUUUUCGGAUUGUAAACUGCUUUUAUAUGUGACGAAUAUGACGGUAGCAUAUGAAUAAGGAUCGGCUAACUCCGUGCCAGCAGCCGCGGUCAUACGGAGGAUCCAAGCGUUAUCCGGAUUAACUGGGCGUAAAGAGUUGCGUAGGUGGUUUAUUAAGCGAAUAGUGAAAUCUUGUGGCUCAACCAUAAACACAUUAUUCGAACUGAUAAACUCGAGAGCGAGAGAGGUCACUGGAAUUCCUUGUGUAGGAGUGAAAUCCGUAGAUAUAAGGAGGAACACCAAUGGCGUAGGCAGGUGACUGGCUCGUUUCUGACACUGAGGCACGAAAGCGUGGGGAGCGA
rnacentral:rRNA from 1 species